rnacentral:lncRNA from 1 species
UCACAUGAAGAUCCACAUCGGACCUCAGCCACUACAACAAGAAAGCACAGCUCUAACACCAACAGAGAGCUACGAAUGAACCAAGCAGCUGUGAAGUCGAAGCUACAGUGGCAGGGCCCGGUGGCAUAUGCUGACGAGUAGGUGGUCCGUUCGGUGAUCUUCCUCAACACGUAGUAUGACUUCAGUGCACACGACACAGUAUAUGCCCCCCUGGAGACCGACAACAGAACAACAGUUCCACAAGCAUGAGCACACUUGAAUUCAGGUGAGAGUGUGACUACUCCCAUUCCUGUCACGUAGAAAGAAGAAAACUCCCGUUUCGUACAGAAAUUCCAUGAGAAGCAAAAUGGCGCCACGUCGUAUUAUUUGUAUUCUUCGUUCUACGAAUCAGCAAAACCAGAUCACGACUCGGACACGAUUCACAUGGAGCACCUAUCUCACGCUUUUUCGACGCGGUAGCCAGGCUGCCUCUCUUCCUCAUCACUUAUUUAAGACGCCCAUCUGGGUUAAAAAGUCGUGACCGAACAAUGACCGGCGGUAUGUAAGGCCUUCCACAGCGUAGCCGGUGCCAAAUACAUCAAAAGGCAGCCACCUCAUCACCGGUGCCCAAAAUUGCUUUUCAGGCAUCGAUCUCACAACGUAGGGCUUCGGCAGGAAAAAGAUUUUGGGACCCAUAUGAUAAACAAGUACACCACGCUGCUGUGUAUUGAGCAAAGAGAGAGAAGACAUUUGCUGUUCAAAGUUGAGAGUUAAUAGUAUUUUAUUGGCUGGAGGAAUUGGGCAUCGUGUUCUUACUUGCUCCGAUGCCAUGAAAAUUUUGUUGGGGCACCGGCCUCACAACGUGAGGGCACCGGCUAUCGGUGCCAGAAGUUAAUUUGGCACCUCUUUUGGCCUACAUAAUGGAAGGUCUAAGAGGUGGGUUUGAGAGAUCGGUAGUAGAUGCUCUUAAUAAGCUAGUACUAGAAGAAGAACAUGUAUAGGGGAGGAAGGGGACAUAAGUGAAUCCCGAACGGAAGCACGUACCUGCGGGUGAUGGCCGAGUCGAGAAGCACGGUCGACGUUCGUGAUCGAGUUGGCGCCGUGCCGGAGCUAAUUCAAGGGAAUGCCGCCGCCUUCCAACCGGAGACGAGACUGUAUUAUGUGGCUGACAACCUGCGCAGCUUUCAAACAUGGUGGCUCCUUUUGGAAAAGGCUCGGAGUGGAGACCCCAACCGUGUCACUCGUGUCAUACAUAUGCACCUUACAAAGGGCUGCGAGCUUUACUACACAGAUGUGUUGGGUGUACAUUUGGUUUUAACAAAUUUGAGACCUUAUCUUUUUUUUUGUUGGGUUUGCUGCUUUUAUGUCAUUUUAAAUACAUAUGUGUAUGCUGUCAAUACACUAUAGAUUAACAUACACUAGUGUCAAAAACGCUUUUAUAUUAUAAAACGGAGGGAGUAGUCUGAUUUUCUCAACACGUAAAUUUUUUUUUAAAUGGAGGCAAAAGAUUUGGCUCAUUCAUUAAUUAAGCAGAAAAGAACUGCCCAGUUAAUUAAUGAAAAACCAGGCGAAAAUCAUCACAAACUACUGAGUGACACCAAUGAAAGACCUACACGCGCCACUCACAAGAGGGCCUCGUCAAGACUGCACGUCGACAUCAUCGCCAUCACUUCUCCCCUAGAGGCAUCAUUGCCAUCCCAAACUAUGAGAAACGACUCCAACUUCACCUCAAGAGGGCCUCGUCAAGACCGCACCUCGAGCGUCAUCACCAUCACUUCUCCCCUAGAGGUGUCAUCGCCAUCCCAAACUCUGAAAAACAACUCUGACUUCGCCAAAGGCGAUCAUCAAACCAACCCACCCUGAAUAGGCCGUGCGGAAUCACAUGAAGAUCCACAUCGGACCUCAGCCACAACAACAAGAAAGCACAGCUCUAACACCAACAGAGAGCUACGAAUAAACCAAGCAGCUGUGAAGUCGAAGCUACAGUGGCAGGGCCUGGUGGCAUAUGCUGACGAGUAGGUGGUCCGUUCGGUGAUCUUCCUCAACACGUAGUAUGACUUCAGUGCACAUGACACAGUAUAUGCCCCCCUGGAGACCGACAACUGAACAACAGUUCCACAAGCAUGAGCACACUUGAAUUCAGGUGAGAGUGUGACCACUCCCAUUCCUGUCACGUAGAAAGAAGAAAACUCCCGUUUCGUACAGAAAUUCCAUGAGAAGCAAACUGGCGCCACGUCGUAUUAUUUGUAUUCUUCGUUCUACGAAUCAACAAAACCAGAUCACGACUCGGACACGAUUCACAUGGAGCACCUAUCUCACGCUUUUUCGACGUGGUAGCCAGGUUGCCUCUCUUCCUCAUCACUUAUUUAAGACGCCCGUCUGGGUUAAAAAAUCGUGACCGAACAAUGACCGGCGGUAUGUAAGGCCUUCCACAGCGUAGCCGGUGCCAAAUACAUCAAAAGGCAGCCACCUCAUCACCGGUGCCCAAAAUUGCUUUUCAGGCAUCGAUCUCACAACGUAGGGCUUCGGCAGGAAAAAGAUUUUGGGACCCAUAUGAUAAACAAGUACACCACGCUGCUGUGUAUUGAGCAAAGAGAGAAGACAUUUGCUGUUCAAAGUUGAGAGUUAAUAGUAUUUUAUUGGCUGGAGGAAUUGGGCAUCGUGUUCUUACUUGCUCCGAUGCCAUGAAAAUUUUGUUGGGGCACCGGCCUCACAACAUGAGGGCACCGGCUAUCGGAGCCAGAAGUUAAUUUGGCACCUCUUUUGGCCUACAUAAUGGAAGGUCUAAGAGGUGGGUUUGAGAGAUCGGUUGUAGAUGCUCUUAAUAAGCUAGUACUAGAAGAAGAACAUGUAUAGGGGAGGAAGGGGACAUAAGUGAAUCCCGAACGGAAGCACGUACCUGCGGGUGAUGGCCGAGUCGAGAAACACGGUCGACGUUCGUGAUCGAGUUGGCGCCGUGCCGGAGCUAAUUCAAGGGAAUGCCGCCGCCUUCCAACCGGAGACGAGACUGUAUUAUGUGGCUGACAACCUGCGUAGCUUUCAAACAUGGUGGCUCCUUUUGGAAAAGGCUCGGAGUGGAGACCCCAACCGUGUCACUCGUGUCAUACAUAUGCACCUUACAAAGGGCUGCAAGCUUUACUACACAGAUGUGUUGGGUGUACAUUUGGUUUUAACAAAUUUGAGACCUUAUCUUUUUUUGUUGGGUUUGCAGCUUUUAUGUCAUUUUAAAUACAUAUGUGUAUGCUGUCAAUACACUAUAGAUUAACAUACACUAGUGUCAAAAACGCUUUUAUAUUAUAAAACGGAGGGAGUAGUCUGAUUUUCUCAACACGUAAUUUUUUUUAAACGGAGGCAAAAGAUUUGGCUCAUUCAUUAAUUAAGCAGAAAAGAACUGCCCAGUUAAUUAAUGAAAAACCAGGCGAAAAUCAUCACAAACUACUGAGUGACACCAAUGAAAGACCUACACGCGCCACUCACAAGAGGGCCUCGUCAAGACUGCACGUCGACAUCAUCGCCAUCACUUCUCCCCUAGAGGCAUCAUUGCCAUCUCAAACUAUGAGAAACGACUCCAACUUCACCUCAAGAGGGCCUCGUCAAGACCGCACCUCGAGCGUCAUCACCAUCACUUCUCCCCUAGAGGUGUCAUCGCCAUCCCAAACUCUGAAAAACAACUCUGACUUCGCCAAAGGCGAUCAUCAAACCAACCCACCCUGAAUAGGCCGUGCGGAAUCACAUGAAGAUCCACAUCGGACCUCAGCCACUACAACAAGAAAGCACAGCUCUAACACCAACAGAGAGCUACGAAUGAACCAAGCAGCUGUGAAGUCGAAGCUACAGUGGCAGGGCCCGGUGGCAUAUGCUGACGAGUAGGUGGUCCGUUCGGUGAUCUUCCUCAACACGUAGUAUGACUUCAGUGCACACGACACAGUAUAUGCCCCCAUGGAGACCGACAACAGAACAACAGUUCCACAAGCAUGAGCACACUUGAAUUCAGGUGAGAGUGUGACCACUCCCAUUCCUGUCACGUAGAAAGAAGAAAACUCCCGUUUCGUACAGAAAUUCCAUGAGAAGCAAAAUGGCGUCACGUCGUAUUAUUUGUAUUCUUCGUUCUACGAAUCAGCAAAACCAGAUCACGACUCGGACACGAUUCACAUGGAGCACCUAUCUCACGCUUUUUCGACGCUGUAGCCAGGCUGCCUCUCUUCCUCAUCACUUAUUUAAGACGCCUGUCUGGGUUAAAAAAUCGUGACCGAACAAUGACCGGCGGUAUGUAAGGCCUUCCACAGCGUAGCCGGUGCCAAAUACAUCAAAAGGCAGCCACCUCAUCACCGGUGCCCAAAAUUGCUUUUCAGGCAUCGAUCUCACAACGUAGGGCUUCGGCAGGAAAAAGAUUUUGGGACCCAUAUGAUAAACAAGUACACCACGCUGCUGUGUAUUGAGCAAAGAGAGAGAAGACAUUCGCUGUUCAAAGUUGAGAGUUAAUAGUAUUUUAUUGGCUGGAGGAAUUGGGCAUCGUGUUCUUACUUGCUCCGAUGCCAUGAAAAUUUUGUUGGGGCACCGGCCUCACAACGUGAGGGCACCGGCUAUCGGAGCCAGAAGUUAAUUUGGCACCUCUUUUGGCCUACAUAAUGGAAGGUCUAAGAGGUGGGUUUGAGAGAUCGGUUGUAGAUGCUCUUAAUAAGCUAGUACUAGAAGAAGAACAUGUAUAGGGGAGGAAGGGGACAUAAGUGAAUCCCGAACGAAAGCACGUACCUGCGGGUGAUGGCCGAGUCAAGAAACACGGUCGACGUUCGUGAUCGAGUUGGCGCCGUGCCGGAGCUAAUUCAAGGGAAUGCCGCCGCCUUCCAACCGGAGACGAGACUGUAUUAUGUGGCUGACAACCUGCGCAGCUUUCAAACAUGGUGGCUCCUUUUGGAAAAGGCUCGGAGUGGAGACCCCAACCGUGUCACUCGUGUCAUACAUAUGCACCUUACAAAGGGCUGCGAGCUUUACUACACAGAUGUGUUGGGUGUUCAUUUGGUUUUAACAAAUUUGAGACCUUAUCUUUUUUUUGUUGGGUUUGCAGCUUUUAUGUCAUUUUAAAUACAUAUGUGUAUGCUGUCAAUACACUAUAGAUUAACAUACACUAGUGUCAAAAACGCUUUUAUAUUAUAAAACGGAGGGAGUAGUCUGAUUUUCUCAACACGUAAGGGCUUCUUUGAUUCAAAGGAAUUGCAUAGGAUUUUUGGAGGAUUUGAAUCCUUAGGAAUUUUUCCUGUGAUGCUCGUUUGAUUCGUAGGAUUGGCAUCCUUAGGAAUUUUUCCAUAGGAUCCAUUUGUACUACAUUUUGGAGGAAAAUUUGCAUCCACUGAAACCUCUUUGUAGGAUUCCUUUGUUUUUCCUGCGCUAUCAAACAUUCUUUGAGAUCCUGUAGGAUACUAUGGGACAUGUCAUCCUAUUCCUGCAUUUUUCCUAUUCCUUCAUUUUGACAAUCCUGCGAAUCAAAGAGGCCCUAAAUUUUUUUUUAAACGGAGGCAAAAGAUUUGGCUCAUUCAUUAAUUAAGCAGAAAAGAACUGCCCAGUUAAUUAAUGAAAAACCAGGCGAAAAUCAUCACAAACUACUGAGUGACACCAAUGAAAGACCUACACGCGCCACUCACAAGAGGGCCUCGUCAAGACUGCACGUCGACAUCAUCGCCAUCACUUCUCCCCUAGAGGCAUCAUUGCCAUCCCAAACUAUGAGAAACGACUCCAACUUCACCUCAAGAGGGCCUCGUCAAGACCGCACCUCGAGCGUCAUCACCAUCAUUUCUCCCCUAGAGGUGUCAUCGCCAUCCCAAACUCUGAAAAACAACUCUGACUUCGCCAAAGGCGAUCAUCAAACCAACCCACCCUGAAUAGGCCGUGCGGAAUCACAUGAAGAUCCACAUCGGACCUCAGCCACUACAACAAGAAAGCACAGCUCUAACACCAACAGAGAGCUACGAAUGAACCAAGCAGCUGUGAAGUCGAAGCUACAGUGGCAGGGCCCGGUGGCAUAUGCUGACGAGUAGGUGGUCCGUUCGGUGAUCUUCCUCAACACGUAGUAUGACUUCAGUGCACACGACACAGUAUAUGCCCCCCUGGAGACCGACAACAGAACAACAGUUCCACAAGCAUGAGCACACUUGAAUUCAGGUGAGAGUGUGACCACUCCCAUUCCUGUCACGUAGAAAGAAGAAAACUCCCGUUUCGUACAGAAAUUCCAUGAGAAGCAAAAUGGCGCCACGUCGUAUUAUUUGUAUUCUUUGUUCUACGAAUCAGCAAAACCAGAUCACGACUCGGACACGAUUCACAUGGAGCACCUAUCUCACGCUUUUUCGACGCGGUAGCCAGGCUGCCUCUCUUCCUCAUCACUUAUUUAAGACGCC